rnacentral:tmRNA from 1 species
GGGGGUGCCCUUGGUUUUGACGGGGCGCAAACUGGCCCGAGGAGCAUGCGGUGAGUGUUGCGUAUCACCUAAAUUCAACGCAGCAAGGCUACAAAUGCCAAAGCGAAAAGCAACGUGAUCGCUUUCCGUCCGCGCACCAGCGCUGGCGCGUUCGCGAUGGCUGCCUAAACCUGUCAUCCCCUUGGAUGGGGAGCAGGCUUAACAGCCCCGAAACCCUGUUUCUGCCGUGUGGCGCGGUAUGGGAGUUUCGGCCAACAAGUUAGCCACUCUAGGGCCUAGCGCGUGCAGCGUGUAACCCAAAAUUUAUCUGCACAAUCACCUGUAAGCGGGCCGCUGGGCCAGCAGGUGAAUCUUGCCAGCGGCUGAGCAUGGAGAGCCUCACUGGAAUGCGUUUCGGACGCGGGUUCGAAUCCCGCCACCUCCACCA